rnacentral:rRNA from 1 species
AUUGAACGCUGGCGGCAUGCCUAACACAUGCAAGUCGAACGGUAACGAUGGGAGCUUGCUCCCAGGCGACGAGUGGCGGACGGGUGAGUAAUACUUAGGAAUCUGCCCAGUAGUGGGGGACAACUCGAGGAAACUCGAGCUAAUACCGCAUACGCCCUACGGGGAAAGCGGGGGAUCUUCGGACCUCGCGCUAUUGGAUGAGCCUAAGUCGGAUUAGUUUGUUGGUGAGGUAAAGGCUCACCAAGGCGACGAUCCGUAGCUGGUCUGAGAGGACGAUCAGCCACACUGGGACUGAGACACGGUCCAGACUUCUACGGGAGGCAGCAGUGGGGAAUCUUGGACAAUGGGGGCAACCCUGAUCCAGCCAUGCCGCGUGAGUGAUGAAGGCCUUAGGGUCGUAAAGCUCUUUCGCCAGAGAUGAUAAUGACAGUAUCUGGUAAAGAAGUCCCGGCUAACUCCGUG